GAGUUUGAUCAGGGCUCAGAACGUACGCUGGCGGCACGCCUAACACAUGCAAGUCGAACGAAGUAGCAAUACUUAGUGGCAGACGGGUGAGUAACAUGUAGGUAUCUGCCCUUUGGCCUGGAAUAACACGAGGAAACUUGUGCUAAUACCGGAUAAGUCUUUACGGAGAAAGCUUUAUGCACCAUUGGAUGAGCCUGCACUUGAUUAGUUUGUUGGUGGGGUAAUGGCCUACCAAGACUGUGAUCAAUAGCUGAUUUGAGAGGAUGAUCAGCCACAUUGGGACUGAGACACGGCCCAAACUCCUACGGGAGGCAGCAGUGGGGAAUCUUGCACAAUGGAGGAAACUCUGAUGCAGCGAUGCCGCGUGAGUGAAGAAGGCCCUUGGGUUGUAAAGCUCUUUCGUCGGGGAAGAAAAUGACUGUACCCGAAUAAGAAGGUCCGGCUAACUUCGUGCCAGCAGCCGCGGUAAUACGAAGGGACCUAGCGUAGUUCGGAAUUACUGGGCUUAAAGAGUUCGUAGGUGGUUGAAAAAGUUAGUGGUGAAAUCCCAGAGCUUAACUCUGGAACUGCCAUUAAAACUUUUCAGCUAGAGUAUGAUAGAGGAAAGCAGAAUUUCUAGUGUAGAGGUGAAAUUUGUAGAUAUUAGAAAGAAUACCAAUUGCGAAGGCAGCUUUCUGGAUCAUUACUGACACUGAGGAACGAAAGCAUGGGUAGCGAAGAGGAUUAGAUACCCUCGUAGUCCAUGCCGUAAACGAUGUGUGUUAGACGUUGGAAAUUUAUUUUCAGUGUCGCAGGGAAACCGAUAAACACACCGCCUGGGGAGUACGACCGCAAGGUUAAAACUCAAAUGAAUUGACGGGGACCCGCACAAGUAGUGGAGCAUGUGGUUUAAUUCGAAGAUACGCGCAGAACCUUACCAACACUUGACAUGUUCGUCGCGACUCUAAGAGAUUAGAGUUUUCGGUUCGGCCGGACGAAACACAGGUGCUGCAUGGCUGUCGUCAGCUCGUGUCGUGAGAUGUUGGGUUAAGUCCCGCAACGAGCGCAACCCUCACUUUUAGUUGCCAUCAUUAAGUUGGGCACUCUGAAAGAACUGCCAGUGAUAAGCUGGAGGAAGGUGGGGAUGACGUCAAGUCCUCAUGGCCCUUACGUGUUGGGCUACACACGUGCUACAAUGGUAUCUACAACAGGAAGCAAGACUGCGAAGUUAAGCAAAUCCCUAAAAGAUACCUCAGUUCGGAUUGCACUCUGCAACUCGAGUGCAUGAAGCUGGAAUUACUAGUAAUCGUGGAUCAGCGUGCCACGGUGAAUGCGUUCCCGGGUCUUGUACACACCGCCCGUCACACCAUGGGAGUUGGUUCUACCUUAAGGCAAGGUUUUAAACCCUUGACCACGGUAUAGUCAGCGACUGGGGUGAAGUCGUAACAAGGUAACC
rnacentral:rRNA from 1 species